rnacentral:rRNA from 1 species
UACGGAGGGUGCAAGCGUUGUCCGGAUUUAUUGGGUUUAAAGGGUGCGUAGGCGGUUCUUUAAGUCUGGGGUGAAAGCCUCCAGCUCAACUGGAGAACUGCCAUUGAUACUGACGGGCUUGAGUACAGACGAGGUUGGCGGAAUUGAUUGUGUAGCGGUGAAAUGCAUAGAUACAAUCAAGAACUCCGAUUGCGUAGGCAGCUAACUAGGCUGUAACUGACGCUGAGGCACGAAAGCGUGGGGAGCGAACAGG